GGGUUGUGAGGUUAAGCGACCAAGCGUACACGGUGGAUGCCCUGGCAGUCAGAGGCGAUGAAGGACGUGCUAAUCUGCGAAAAGCGCCGGUAAGGUGAUAUGAACCGUUAUAACCGGCGAUGUCCGAAUGGGGAAACCCAGUGUGACUCGUCACACUAUCAUUAACUGAAUCCAUAGGUUAAUGAGGCGAACCGGGGGAACUGAAACAUCUAAGUACCCCGAGGAAAAGAAAUCAACCGAGAUUCCCCCAGUAGCGGCGAGCGAACGGGGAGGAGCCCAGAGCCUGAAUCAGCAUGUGUGUUAGUGGAAGCGUCUGGAAAGGCGCGCGAUACAGGGUGAGAGCCCCGUACACAAAAGCGCAUAUGCUGUGAGCUCGAUGAGUAGGGCGGGACACGUGGUAUCCUGUCUGAAUAUGGGGGGACCAUCCUCCAAGGCUAAAUACUCCUGACUGACCGAUAGUGAACCAGUACCGUGAGGGAAAGGCGAAAAGAACCCCGGCGAGGGGAGUGAAACAGAACCUGAAACCGUGUACGUACAAGCAGUGGGAGCCUCUCUUUAUG
rnacentral:rRNA from 1 species